rnacentral:rRNA from 1 species
GCGGGCGCCUUCGGGCGUCAGCGGCUGACGGGUGAGUAACGCGCGUUAACGUGCCCUUUCCUCCGGAAUACCCUCUGGAAACGGAUAUUAAUGCCGGAUACGCCGUCUCGUGGUGACACGGGAUGGGAAAGAUUUAUCGGGGAAGGAUCGGCCCGCGUCAGAUUAUGUAGUUGGUGGGGUAACGGCCUACCAUUCCGACGAUCCGUAGCUGGUUUGAGAGGAUGAUCAGCCACACUGGGACUGAGACACGGCCCAGACUCCUACGGGAGGCAGCUGUGGGGAAUCUUGGACUAUGGGGGCAACCCUGAUCCAGCCAUGCCUCGUGAGCGAUGAAGGCCUUAGGGUUGUAAAGCUCUUUCAGCGGGGAAGAUAAUGACGGUACCCGCAGAAUAAGCCCCGGCUAUCUCCGUGCCAGCAGCCGCGGUUCUACGGAGGGGGCUAGCGUUGUUCGGAAUUACUGGGCGUAUAGCGCACGUAGGCUGACCAUCAAGUUGGGGGUGAAAUCCUGGGGCUCAUUCCCCGGAACUGCCUUCAUAUCUGU